rnacentral:misc_RNA from 1 species
GGAUGGAUCAUUCCUUGAUUUACUAAUCAAAUUAACCUAAGCAAUCACUGUUAUAAUUAGUUCAUUGAUUCAUAAAGUCAACAUUGACUUAUGACAAGCGACUAAUUCACAACAAUCAACAUUGAUAUCAUUAUAAUCUAUUAUAAUGUUAUAAUUCAAAACUCUCAGCGAUGGAUGACUCGACUCUCACACCGAGGAAGGACGCAGCAAACCGCGAUAAGCAGUAUGACUUGCGAAAUUUUGUGAUUCACCAGAUUUCUGAACGCAAAGGUACUUCUGGCCUCGGCCUGGAGUAUGUUUGGCUCGGUAUCGAUUAGAAUAUCUCAACAAUAAUGGUAUCUGAUUGUAAUAUUAAUCAACGGAUAAUAACUGCAGCAGUCAAGGCAUUCCUUGUGCUGAAAGAUUAUCUGAUUGCUUAACAUUCCUUUCAUUUACAACCUUUGCUUGAGAAGCACUUACAGGGUCUAUUCAAACGUCCCUGUUGAUAAUAAUGAUGCAAAUUAACACUGUUAAUAGAAUCUCAUACAGUAAUCAUUUACAUAUUGAGACUAUCUUUUAACAACUAUUUGCAGUCACUAUUAUUCAGUACGAUUAACUAAUUCUGAUCCGAGCUCAAACAAGGUUACCCGCUGAAUUUAAGCAUAUAAUUAAGCGGAGGAAAAGAAACCAACUGGGAUUCCCGUAGUAGUGGCGAACGAAGUGGGAAAAGCCCGCGAUGUUAAUCCAUCUUCUGAUGGAGUUGUGCAUCGAGUCCUUAGCUAUUGGAGAAAUGAGAGGAAGAUGCCUGGAAUGGCACGCCAUAGAAGGUGACAGCCCUGUACUUAUCUCACGAAACUCCAAAUACAGCUUUGGUCUAAUGAGUCACGCUCUUUGGGAGUAGAGCGCAAAAUGGGUGGUAACCUCCAUCCACGGCUAGAUAACGGUGAGAGAUCGAUAGCAAACAAGUACCGUGAGGGAAAGUUGAAAAGCACUUCGAAAGGAGAGUUAAAAUACCUGAAAUCGCUGAGGGGGAAGCGGCUGUCCGUGACCCUAUGAUCAAAGGAUUUCCUUUGAUACAUUACUCGACAUCACUCCUUAACAUUAACUGGUAAACCGCUUCGGCUGUUGAUCCAAGCUUAAUGAUAAGAAGUGUGGAUUGCCUUUGUAGGUUGUCGAGAGUGGCAUGUACAGACGACCCGUCUUGAAACACGGACCAAGGAGUUAAACGAAAGUGCGAGUGUAAGGGUGGUAAACCCAGACGCGUAGUGAAAGCAAAAGCUGUGAAUGACAAUGCAACAGCGGCCGACUUGAAGUUCGAGCUUGAGCAUUUUCGUUUAGACCCGAAAGAUGGUGACCUAUACCUGAGUUGGGUGAAGCCAGGGGAAACCCUGGUGGAAGCUCGUAGCGAUACUGACGUGCAAAUCGUUCGUCAAACUUGGGCAUAGGGGCGAAAGACUAAUCGAACCAUCUAGUAGCUGGUUCCCUC